rnacentral:rRNA from 1 species
UAGGGAAUCUUCCGCAAUGGACGCAAGUCUGACGGAGCAACGCCGCGUGAGUGAAGAAGGAUUUCGGUUCGUAAAACUCUGUUGUUAGAGAAGAACAGCGCAUAGAGUAACUGUUAUGCGUGUGACGGUAUCUAACCAGAAAGCCACGGCUAACUACGUGCCAGCAGCCGCGGUAAUACGUAGGUGGCAAGCGUUGUCCGGAUUUAUUGGGCGUAAAGCGAGCGCAGGCGGUCAAUUAAGUCUGAUGUGAAAGCCCCCGGCUCAACCGGGGAGGGUCAUUGGAAACUGGUUGACUUGAGUGCAGAAGAGGAGAGUGGAAUUCCAUGUGUAGCGGUGAAAAGCGUAGAUAUAUGGAGGAACACCAGUGGCGAAGGCGACUCUCUGGUCUGUAACUGACACUGAGGUUCGAAAGCGUGGGUAGCAAACAGG